CCUCUGUCACAGCUCGAUCUGACAUUGGACUGCAUAUGUAUGCUUGGUUCAGUGUAGAAUUAGUUUGGUCAGAAUCACUCUACAAAGCUUUGUUUGGUUCAUGGUUGCUGUUGCCAUAGACUUUUAGCUCUAAGUGCUUUUCCCUUUGAAUUUUUCCUAAUUGCACCGGUGCAGCUGAGCAUAUAACAAACCAACGUCAGGAUUUGCAUUGGCAUAACUACAAUUAUCAAGUGCAACAGUAAUGGCCAGCGCUAUACAUGCUGAAAAAGACUAUGUUCUUGAAGGAAGUAAAGGCACACCCUUUGAAGGUAGAGAUCAUGCAAUACUGUACAACAUGACAACCCCUAGCGGCAGGUUUGCGCCACACAAAAGAAUAUGCUUGUCAAUGAGUGAAUUUCAUCCUGAGUCUUGGAAUCCAAUGUGGUCUGUAGUAAGGCUAACAAAGAUGGGGGACAAAUUGUAGAGGUUGCUGCUACAACAAACAUGGGUCAAGAAAAUGUAACUACAGAAAGUGAAGAAAUAUCACAUCAGCAGGUAGUUUGAGAACUGAAGAGUGUUUAAUGUUGUCAUGUGAUAGUCCUUAGUAUGGGGCCUAAUUUUCCCUCCAUCUAUUGAUUUGCAGCAAAACCAAGAUAGC